GGAUAUGAGAGAGAUCUAGCUGUGAUCUGUCCUCCACUUAUCACCAUGGUUGACCUGGCUGAUCUUGUUGACUAGGCAGGUGUCCCCUUCCUUCUUCACUGCCCCAAGUGUGUCCAUUCCAAAGCUGUGAAGAGGACAACUACUUCUGAUAGAGGAACACUGUUUCCUCUGUCAAGGACAUGAAUAGCUGCAGUCUCCCGCUGGAAUCUGCAAACAAGCUCUCAAGAAAGUUAAGAUAUUAUUUAUUUACUUAUCUUUUUUAACAUUAAUUUUAUU
rnacentral:snRNA from 1 species